AUGCCGCGUGCAGGAAGAAGGCCCUCUGGUUUGUAAACUGCUUUUGAUUGGGAAGAAAGCUUCUCAUGCGUGGGAUUUUGACGGUACC
rnacentral:rRNA from 1 species